CCUACGGGUGGCUGCAGUCGAGAAUCAUUCACAAUGGGGGAAACCCUGAUGGUGCGACGCCGCGUGGGGGAAUGAAGGUCUUCGGAUUGUAAACCCCUGUCAUGGGGGAGCAAAUUAAAAAGAUAGUACCACAAGAGGAAGAGACGGCUCACUCUGUGCCAGCAGCCGCGGUAAUACAGAGGUCUCAAGCGUUGUUCGGAAUCACUGGGCGUAAAGCGUGCGUAGGCGGUUUCGUAAGUCGUGUGUGAAAGGCGCGGGCUCAACCCGCGGACGGCACAUGAUACUGCUAGACUAGAGUAAGGGAGGGGGAACCGGAAUUCUCGGUGUAGGAGUGAAAUGCGUAGAUAUCGAGAGGAACACUCGUGGCGAAGGCGGGUUCCUGGACAUUAACUGACGCUGAGGCACGAAGGCCAGGGGAGCGAAAGGGAUUAGAUACCCCUGUAGUC
rnacentral:rRNA from 1 species